GGUUUCAAAGUACAAAGAAGGGCCUGAGGAAUGAGCCAAAAGCGUUGAAGCCUGUUGCCGUAAUUGUCCGCUGUAGGUUUUGACUCUAAUGGCUGAUCGCAAGAGGAAAUGUGUUGUUUCCUCAACCGCACGUGGUCCGUGUCAGUUGUUGAAGUGGUUGCGACGAGUGCAACCGAGAAGAGCAUACCCGGCUCCUCCUCCAGCACCUUCUCCUUCACCAUCUCCUUCAGAUCCUUCUUCCACGUCAUCGGAAGCGAGUGGGACCAGACCUUCUUACCCUCGACCCUUAUUAUGGGGAACACGAAGCAUUGAGGACCAAAACCCUGGACAUGUACGGUGUGUGGGUUGAAGAAUUAGUUGAUUCACCACUUGCUGUUUCAUCUUCCCUCUUUCAAGUGCAAGGCUUGUGAUGCUGAACCCCCAGAGGGUAGUGUUGAUUUUGGAUUUUGUUAUGGUAACCUUGCUCUCAAUGGGUUUUGUCCUAUUGGCAAUGUGAAGGAUCAAGACGGAUCAACUUGUCUUGCAAAUGCCCUUGCAUCCGCAGUGGAGAUAACCCAAAGAAUUUCGAGGAUUAUCCGAGGAGAACCUCUAAGUGAAGAAGGACCAGUAGUUGAUGUCAAUGAUCUUCUUAUGAAAUACAAGAUAUUGUGUGAGGAAAGAGGUUUAAAAUAUGACAACUUUGAUGUGCGUUCAUUGAUCAAUAUGCUUCGUGUGUUGGAGGUGGAUGGUGUGAGGGCUAAGGGAGAUGAUAAUUUGUACAAAAUUCAUGACUGGGAUUAUAUUGAUAAGGAUGACUUUGCUACUCUUACUUCUGCUUUAGCUGAUGGAUAUCCACUUAUUGCUGGAUUUCAAACUGGCAAGAGUGUUUGUUUCCUACAGCCUGGUGAGAUUUACAUGCCACCAAAGCAAGGAAGUUAGCAUGGAUGGUAAGAGUACACCGAUAGGUCACAUGGUUUUGCUAGUUGGAGCCCAGCAGGAACGAAAAGAAAAAUUCUUCUACUUCCUCAGUUCUUGGUCCGAGGACUUCUGCUCAAGGAUGGAAGAAGGGGACGGCAUACUUGGAGGCAUUGGUGCUUUAUGUGCCGAGGGAAUAGAUUUUCCGCCAAUUCAGAUUUUGAGAUUCAAUGAAAGGCGCAAUCAGGAGGUCUAUCAUCCUGAAUUUCCUAGCUUGUAGCUUGUAAGAUGGAAAGAUUGUGCCUGCUAGAUGACCUGCUGAUUUUCGAUGGGAUCCUGUUUUCCAACCAGACGGUUUUGAUCAAACCUAUGCGGAGAUGCCCAAGUCAGCGACGAAUCAAAUAUCUCACAGGGAUAAGCUCUUGCUUUGGUAAAAGAACACUUUGCAGCUGUCAACUAUAAAGUUCAGAUCGAUGGUUCAGCUUGAACUUUGGUGGGAUUAUCUAUACUUCCAUAGUGAUUUUUGCCAGUUCCCCAAGUUGUGAGAACCACAUGAAGAUGUCAAAUACAUUGAGUCGCCUAGCUAUCUGGAUGUGAAUUGAUAGUAGGGGGUAAUUGUUUGGCUUUUCUGAAAAAACCAAAUAACAUAUUUA